GAUGAACGCUGGCGGCGUGCCUAAUACAUGCAAGUCGAGCGAACGGACGAGAAGCUUGCUUCUCUGAUGUUAGCGGCGGACGGGUGAGUAACACGUGGAUAACCUACCUAUAAGACUGGGAUAACUUCGGGAAACCGGAGCUAAUACCGGAUGAUAUUUUGAACCGCAUGGUUCAAAAGUGAAAGACGGUCUUGCUGUCACUUAUAGAUGGAUCCGCGCUGCAUUAGCUAGUUGGUAAGGUAACGGCUUACCAAGGCAACGAUGCAUAGCCGACCUGAGAGGGUGAUCGGCCACACUGGAACUGAGACACGGUCCAGACUCCUACGGGAGGCAGCAGUAGGGAAUCUGCCGCAAUGGGCGAAAGCCUCACGGAGCAACGCCGCGUGAGUGAUGAAGGUCUUCGGAUCGUAAAACUCUGUUAUUAGGGAAGAACAUAUGUGUAAGUAACUGUGCACAUCUUGACGGUACCUAAUCAGAAAGCCACGGCUAACUACGUG
rnacentral:rRNA from 1 species